AUUGAACGCUGGCGGCAUGCUUUACACAUGCAAGUCGAACGGUAACAGCACUUCGGUGGCUGACGAGUGGCGCACGGGUGAGUAAUACAUCGGAACGUGCCUAGUAGUGGGGGAUAACUACUCGAAAGAGUAGCUAAUACCGCAUGAGAUCUAAGGAUGAAAGCAGGGGACCUUCGGGCCUUGCGCUACUAGAGCGGCUGAUGGCAGAUUAGGUAGUUGGUGGGAUAAAAGCUUACCAAGCCGACGAUCUGUAGCUGGUCUGAGAGGACGACCAGCCACACUGGGACUGAGACACGGCCCAGACUCCUACGGGAGGCAGCAGUGGGGAAUUGUGGACAAGGGGCGCAAGCCUGAUCCAGCAAUGCCGCGUGCAGGAUGAAGGCCUUCGGGUUGUAAACUGCUUUUGUACGGAACGAAAAGCCCUCUUCUAAUACAGGAGGGUCAUGACGGUACCGUAAGAAUAAGCACCGGCUAACUACG
rnacentral:rRNA from 1 species